rnacentral:rRNA from 1 species
AACCCGACUCCAUGAAGCUGGAUUCGCUAGUAAUCGCGCAUCAGCCACGGCGCGGUGAAUACGUUCCCGGGCCUUGUACACACCGCCCGUCAAGCCAUGGAANCCGGGGGUGCCUGAAGUGCGUGACCGCAAGGAGCGCCCUAGGGUAAAACCGGUGACUGGGGCUAAGUCGUAACAAGGUAGC